UGUAAGCGUAUACCAAAGUUGUUGCAGUUAAAACGCUCGUAGUUGGAUUUCGGGUGGGAAUGGCCGGUCCGCCGUUUCGGUGUGCACUUGCUACGCCCACCUUGCUGCCGGGGACGUGCUCUUGAGUUCACGCUCGGGACACGGAGUCGGCGAGGUUACUUUGAGUAAAUUAGAGUGUUCAAAGCAGGCCUACGCUCUGAAUACAUUAGCAUGGAAUAACACGAUAGGACUCUGGCCUAUCUUGUUGGUCUGUAGGACCGGAGUAAUGAUUAAGAGGGACAGUCGGGGGCAUUCGUAUUUCAUUGUCAGAGGUGAAAUUCUUGGAUUUAUGAAAGACGAACUACUGCGAAAGCAUUUGCCAAGGAUGUUUUCAUUAA
rnacentral:rRNA from 1 species